rnacentral:rRNA from 1 species
UACAGAGGUCCCAAGCGUUGUUCGGAUUCACUGGGCGUAAAGGGUGCGUAGGCGGUCGGGUAAGUCUGAUGUGAAAUCUCACAGCUUAACUGUGAAACUGCAUUGGAUACUAUCCGGCUCGAGGAAUGGAGGGGAGACUGGAAUUCCUGGUGUAGCGGUGAAAUGCGCAGAUAUCGGGAGGAACACCAGUGGCGAAGGCGGCCUUCUGGACCAGUACUGACGCUCAUGCACGAAAGCGUGGGGAGCAAACAGG